UCUUCCCCGGGCACGACCUCACAACUAAGGUGGAACCCCACAGUCCUGGUUGCCUUGAGACAGGUGAGGAUUCCAAUGGCGGCGACGGCUCAGCUGGCAUCAGGAUGCAGAACUGGUUCUCUCUUAAUCGACAUCUCCGCAGGUAAGGCCGAAUUGGGCAGUUAAGGCCCAGAGAUUGCCAGGGUGAGUCUUCCACAGCCAUGGCUCUCUGGCCUUGAGAGCAGGGCAGCCCCAGCGGUCAGCCUGGCCUUCUUUGACCAUCUCCUGAGGGGCCCCUUUAACUGGAAGGAGAGCUGGCUCACGUUGACAGUAUUUGUGUCUGGGCACCAGAGGGCUCAAUUUCAGGGCAGUUGACUUCUUCCUCUUUUCCUCCUUCUCCUCCCUAGAACCAUCUACGAGAAGAACAGACCGUAAGUAACUGGAACUCAAAGAAAACCUUGUCUUAGUAAGGCAGGGCAAAUGAAGGGGUUCUUGGUGCUGGAAGGAGAAACCGGGUUUGGGAUACCCUGGAUAUUCCCGAGUUAUUGGCUACCCAUGGAUCUAUGGGUGUCCUUGUGGGGCACAGCAUCACAUACACGCUUUGCUCGGUACUUGCAGCCUUUCCGAGGAUGAUAAAAGGGAAAGCCAGAAUGAAGCUGGAAGAGACCCCCUUGUAGGGGAAGGUUGUCUUCUUCAGCUGCAACCCCAACCAAGUCCAGCUGCUGCAAAUGCAGGGGAUCCGGAAGGCAAGGCUCAGGCUGACCCGUCGGCCCCCAAGGAUGUUUCCCCAGAGCCGGCCCUCCCGGCUCCUAUGCCUCCAGAGGAGAUCAUGGCCCUGAUUCAGGAGCUACAAGCUGCGCAUGAGUUCCAGUCUUCUCACUUCCAAGAGCGUA